AGUGAACGCUGGCGGCAGGCCUAACACAUGCAAGUCGAACGGUAGCACAGAGGAGCUUGCUCCUUGGGUGACGAGUGGCGGACGGGUGAGGAAUACAUCGGAAUUUGCCCUGUCGUGGGGGAUAACGUAGGGAAACUUACGCUAAUACCGCAUACGAACUGAGGUUGAAAGCAGGGGACCGCAAGGCCUUGCGCGAUUGGAUGAGCCGAUGUCCGAUUAGCUAGUUGGUAAGGUAAAGGCUUACCAAGGCGACGAUCGGUAGCUGGUCUGAGAGGAUGAUCAGCCACACUGGAACUGAGACACGGUCCAGACUCCUACGGGAGGCAGCAGUGGGGAAUAUUGGACAAUGGGCGCAAGCCUGAUCCAGCCAUGCCGCGUGUGUGAAGAAGGCCUUCGGGUUGUAAAGCACUUUUGUUGGGAAAGAAAAGCGGUCGGUUAAUACCCGGUCGUACUGACGGUACCCAAAGAAUAAGCACCGGCUAACUUCGUGCCAGCAGCCGCGGUAAAAC
rnacentral:rRNA from 1 species